ensembl:lincRNA
CCCCCCGCAAGGUUCCCAGAGGGUGUUGCAAGAAUCAAGGAACCUCGGUCAGGGCCUCAAGAAGCUAGGUAUGUACACAUGUGCUCCAGAGCCUUGCCCAUGCCUGGCACAUAGUAGGCACUCAGUAAAUGCUGAAUGGGUGAAUGAUAGGUGCUCAAUAAACGUCGAAUGACCUUCUCUUCUCAGGCUAUUCCUACCAUCAUCAGUCUGCCCACCUUUCUAGGUCAAGCUUGGCCACCAUUCAGUGCGGGCUGGGGUGAGGGCCCUGCAGUUCACGGUGCAAUAUUUAACCAGUUUUGCCCUCCGCCUCGGAAGGCCAAGCUGGAUUUUGAUUACCACGUGCGGAUGUGUGUGUGUCCUUUCUUCUCUGUCCUUGGCAGUAGUGGGUGGGCUGUGAGUGAAUAUGUGACAUUUCCAUAAUUCAAUACCCCCAAGUUCUCUUGGGGACAGGGGCUCCUGGCCGGCCAGAUAUAUGGGUCCCUGGGAACCCAGACCUCAAGUGGGACCUUUUCUUCCUUUCACAAGCCAAAUUUGCCUCCACCCACUCCCUCUAAAAAACCGGGCACUUGCCAAAGUAACCACUGGAGUCAUCCAAGGCCCUCCCCUUCCCAGGUCUCCCACAGUUUUCAGGGACAGUGGGCAAGAGGACCGCCCCCACACCUCAGUGGAACAGCCUUUCCCCUCCCUGACAGCGCACUCAGUGCAGGAGACCCAUCCCGUCCCGCCUGCCCUCACCUCGGACAGGAAGGAAGUAAUGCACCUUCUCUUGCUAAUUAUUUAUUUGUUUGGAGAGACAAAUGAUGUAAAAGUGUAUCUAGAAAUAUCUAUCUAUAUAUUUUUAACUGACUCUGGAAUCCCCUGGGGUGGGGGGAUAGGCUCUUGCGGAGAGGGACAGAGCCUGGGAGCUGGUCCCUGGCAGUCCGGAUCCUCUUCCUCAUUCUGUCCCAGUUGAGAGGGAGGGGUAGAGACAAGGGAGGGGAGACCCGUCAUGGAGGUGACCCACCCCCAAACCCGACAAUCACCCACACUCCUGGGGCUCCUUCCGGGCCGGGCAGGCGAGUCCAAGUGUGCGGCUGUUGGUUUGUUUUGGAUAUUUCUUUCGUGCUGUACGGUGAUGCUUUCUUAGUAUUCUACACAAUAAGAAAAGACAGAAGUCCUCGAGAUUCUUAUGAGUUUUGUUUGAAAACUCUUUCACUAUAUUUGUUGUAAAGAGGUUUACUAUUAAAAGAAAAAGAACACACGUUUCUGAUACUCCGUCUUGGGCUUUGCUUUCUUUGGUGCGGCCGAGGGGGAAGGGCUGGGGCAGCCCUGCCAGGGUUCAAGGCCCGAGCUUCACCCAUGGCGGAGGAUGGUGGGCGUGGGGUGAGCACUUCCCGGUGUCCCUGGAGGGUGUGCUCCAGGUGCUCUGCCAGGAGGAGGCAGCCCCAGGACGGGGGACAGGUUGUCUAGCUCGAAGGAAGCUUCAGGAGGGACCCUGGGACAUCAAAGCAACCAAGCCACCCGAAGCCAGUCCAGCCCUCUGAGGCCAGUCCAGCCCUCUGACUGCCGAAACCUGUAUGGCCACAGGCGCGGCCCAGGUGUGGUCCACCUUGGAGCCGCAGCCUCCCCCGCAGGGCCCUCUGCUCUUGGCUCUCGUGGGAAGGACCUUGACAGUGCCAGGGAAACACUCCUUCUUCUCACCGGUCCCAAAAGGCCCCCCACCUCGCGCCCUCUGCUGAGCCGAGCUGCCCCUGCCGUGCCCCCUCACCACAGCUGUGCCGGGGCUGGAGGUGGGACCUGUGCUGGGUGCUGGCAUCGGGGUCCCGGGCAGAACAACCUCACAGAUCACAGCACAUGUUCAGGGACGUGGGGGCCGGAAAUUCAGGCUGCCGCCCGCACACACGGGAGUCAGGCAAGACACAGGAGUGCCUUUGUGGCUUGGGUUUCCUCAUCCGCAAAAUGCCUCCAUCUGUGCUGAGCCCUGUCAUUACCUCAUGAUCUCGUCAGCAGGACAGAGGGACAACAAAAACCAAGCAGGAAGUGUCCUCUAGGCCAGCUUCUGGAAGCAGCUUCCAAGAUGACCUCCACCUCCCGGCCUGGUAUUCACACCUCUCUGGUCCCCUCCCACACUCAUCGUGGUCAUCCUGUGCGGCCAGUGAAAGGCGGUGGGAGUGAAGCAUGUGACUGCCAGGGCUAAGUCAUGGCUCCUACUUGGGUCUCUUUCAUCAUUUGCCUUGGAGGAAACCAGAUGCCAUGUUGUGGGACCGCCCUCUGGAGAGGCCCAUGUGGCAAGGAACCGAGGCCUCAGCCAGCUGCCAUUCAAGAGAGUCAUCUCCUCUGCUCUUUAGUUCCCAGGCUUCACCACUCAUGGCUACAGACAAAGACUCCCUGGCACAACGUACCCCCGGCUCACCCAUGUCCAUGGAGAGAGGUCUUCCUCUAAGGUGACCAGAACAGUCCUGACCUAACAUCCAAUCCCUGAGCAAAACCCUUCUGUUCUGUGCAUCUCCUCUCUGGACCUCAGCCUCCUAGGCCUGCCGUUCCUUUCCCACAGGUGUAGCAGUGUUCCUUUCCUCAUGAGGUAUGCCUGUUCUCUUCUCCUUCCUGCAUUCUCAGUCCCUGUGUCUGGACUAGUCUGGACAGCGAACUGUAAUAUAUGUGUCGCUUCUGAAGCGCAGCUGUCAGCUGGGUGCCUUGGUUCCUGUAAUCCCAGUGGCUUGGGAGGCUGAGGCAGGAGGAUUGCAAGUAGAGGCCAGCAUCAGCAAUUUAGCAGGCCCUAAGCAACUCAGUGAAACCCUGUCUCAAAAAACUAAAAAGAGCUGGGGAUGUAGCUCAGUGGUAAAGUGCUCUUGGGUUAAAUCCCCAGCACCAAACGGAAAAACAAAACAAACAAACAAACAAACAAAAAGAAAUGUAGAUGGCACCUGGUUCUCUAAGUGCUCUUUCCCUGUCAUAGGAAGUGUGGAGUGCAACAAGAUCAAAGCGGCCUGGAUUGCUAAGUGGCCUUAAGGUGUUGUUCCACGCCAGGGAGGACUCUGUGUGAAUAGAAAAUAAGUGUGCUAAGUCACAGACAGGGCAGCACUGUGUGUGCAGACAAACUCCCUGUCCGACUGAGGCGGCACCCUUCUGCCUCGCGGACAGCCUGAAGCCCAGCUACCAACCGUGCCUUCCUUGUGGAGUGGCCCACAGAUCUCCAGACUUGGCACAGUUCAGCUCCUACUUCGGCCACUUACAGCUGCGUGGCCUUCGCUAGUCACCAUCUCUCUGGCUACUGUUUCUGUACCACAGAGCUAACAGCUGUCUGCUUCCAACCCCAGCCUGUCCUCCUGUCCAUCUUCCCAUCUUCCGCCCUGUUCUGAUCAUCUAACACCUAGCGAUUCUCAACUGCUCAUCAUGUAAGAUGCAGAUUCUCUGGUUCCCAAGGCCUUCAAAGAGCCAAUGCAGAGCAGGGAUGGUGGUGCUGUAAUCCCAACCACUCAGGAGGCUGAGGCAGGAGGAUCCCAAGUUCGAGGGCAGCCUCAGCAACUUAAUGAAAUCCUGUCUCAAAAUAAAAAUUAAAUGGGCUGGGGAGGUAGCUCAGUUGGUAGAGUGCUUGCCUUGCAUGCACAAAGCCCUGGGUUAAAAAACCAAAAACGUGCUGGGCUGCAGUGGCACAGGCCUGUAACCCCAGCGGCUCAGGAGGCAGAGGCAAGAGGAACACAAGUUCAAAGCCAGCCUCAGCAAUUUAGCGAGGCACUAAGCAACUCAGUGAGACCCUGUAUCUAAUAAAAUAGAAAACAGGGCUGGGGAUGUGGCUCAGUGGUUGAGUGCCCC